rnacentral:tRNA from 1 species
AGCCCCGUCGUCUAGUGGUCAAGGAUACAAGGCUCUGGACCUUGGGACAGCGGUUCGAAUCCGCUCGGGGCUA